rnacentral:rRNA from 1 species
GACGAACGCUGGCGGCGUGCUUAACACAUGCAAGUCGAACGGUGAAGCUCCAGCUUGCUGGAGUGGAUCAGUGGCGAACGGGUGAGUAACACGUGAGCAACCUGCCCCAGACCCUGGAAUAAGCGCUGGAAACGGCGUCUAAUACUGGAUACGAGAUCAAGCCGCAUGGUUAUGGUCUGGAAAGUUUUUCGGUUUGGGAUGGGCUCGCGGCCUAUCAGCUUGUUGGUGAGGUAAUGGCUCACCAAGGCGACGACGGGUAGCCGGCCUGAGAGGGCGACCGGCCACACUGGGACUGAGACACGGCCCAGACUCCUACGGGAGGCAGCAGUGGGGAAUAUUGCACAAUGGGCGAAAGCCUGAUGCAGCGACGCCGCGUGAGGGAUGACGGCCUUCGGGUUGUAAACCUCUUUCAGCAGGGAAGAAGCGAAAGUGACGGUACCUGCAGAAGAAGCACCGGCUAACUACGUG